UCUCGGCUUAUCACCGGCAGUCCCCCUAGAGUGCCCAACUGAAUGAUGGCAACUAAGGGCGAGGGUUGCGCUCGUUGCGGGACUUAACCCAACAUCUCACGACACGAGCUGACGACAGCCAUGCAGCACCUGUGUUCAGGUCCCCUUUCGGGCACAGCCAGAUCUCUCCGGCCUUCCUGACAUGUCAAGGGUAGGUAAGGUUUUUCGCGUUGCAUCGAAUUAAUCCACAUCAUCCACCGCUUGUGCGGGUCCCCGUCAAUUCCUUUGAGUUUUAAUCUUGCGACCGUACUCCC
rnacentral:misc_RNA from 1 species